AGGGUUCGAUUAUGGCUCAGGACGAACGCUGGCGGCGCGCCUAACACAUGCAAGUCGAACGAGAGAGAGGGAGCUUGCUCCCUUGAUCGAGUGGCGAACGGGUGAGUAACGCGUGAGGAACCUGCCUCAAAGAGGGGGACAACAGUUGGAAACGACUGCUAAUACCGCAUAAGCCCACGGCUCGGCAUCGAGCAGGGGGAAAAGGAGCAAUCCGCUUUGAGAUGGCCUCGCGUCCGAUUAGCUGGUUGGUGAGGUAACGGCCCACCAAGGCAACGAUCGGUAGCCGGACUGAGAGGUUGAACGGCCACAUUGGGACUGAGACACGGCCCAG
rnacentral:rRNA from 1 species